rnacentral:rRNA from 1 species
CCGAAACCAGAUGAUCUAUCCAUGGCCAGGUUGAAGGUUGGGUAACACCAACUGGAGGACCGAACCCACUAACGUUGAAAAGUUAGGGGAUGAGCUGUGGAUAGGGGUGAAAGGCUAAACAAAUCUGGAAAUAGCUGGUUCUCCCCGAAAACUAUUUAGGUAGUGCCUCGAGUCUCACUACAGGGGGUAGAGCACUGUUAUGGCUAGGGGGUCAUCGCGACUUACCAAACCAUGGCAAACUCCGAAUACCUGUAAGUGCAAUCUCGGGAGACAGACAUCGGGUGCUAACGUCCGGUGUCAAGAGGGAAACAACCCAGACCGCCAGCUAAGGUCCCUAAUAUCUGCUAAGUGGAAAACGAAGUGGGAAGGCUAAAACAGUCAGGAGGUUGGCUUAGAAGCAGCCACCCUUUAAAGAAAGCGUAAUAGCUCACUGAUCGAGUCGUCCUGCGCGGAAGAUGUAACGGGGCUAAGCAGAUAACCGAAGCUGCGGAUGUACACGUAAGUGUAUGUGGUAGGGGAGCGUUCUGUAAGCCUGCGAAGGUGUGUUGUAAAGCAUGCUGGAGGUAUCAGAAGUGCGAAUGCUGACAUGAGUAGCGAUAAACAGAGUGAAAGGCUCUGUCGCCGUAAGCCCAAGGUUUCCUACGCAACGUUCAUCGGCGUAGGGUUAGUCGGCCCCUAAGGCGAGGCAGAAAUGCGUAGUCGAUGGGAAGCAGGUUAAUAUUCCUGCACCGACGUGUAAUGCGAUGGGGGGACGGAUCGUGGAAAGUGGUCCAGGUGUUGGAUAUCCUGGUCCCUGCAUCAUAGAGGACAGUUAGGCAAAUCCGGCUGUCAUAUACUCAAGGGUGUGGGGGGAAGUAGCUACGGCUACGAACCCAUUGGAAGUGGUCCCAAGAAAAGCCUCUAAGCUUCAGUUACACGUUGACCGUACCGCAAACCGACACAGGUGGGCGGGAUGAGUAUUCUAAGGCGCUUGAGAGAACUCAGGAGAAGGAACUCGGCAAAUUGGUACCGUAACUUCGGGAGAAGGUACGCCCUUGUAGCUUGACCAUGAACAAUGGAAGGGUGAAGGGGUUGCAAUAAAAUGGUGGCUGCGACUGUUUAAUAAAAACACAGCUCUCUGCAAACACGAAAGUGGACGUAUAGGGAGUGACGCCUGCCCGGUGCUGGAAGAUUAAAUGAUGGGGUGCAAGCUCUUGACUGAAGUCCCAGUAAACGGCGGCCGUAACUAUAACGGUCCUAAGGUAGC